rnacentral:tRNA from 1 species
UGGGUUGUGGCUCAGCGGUAGAGCACUCACCUAGCAUGUGCAAGGCCCUGGGUUCGAUCCUCAGCACCAUAU